CCAGAAUCCCUGGCUUCUGGGUGGCUGUCUUUCCAGAAGCUUGAAGCUGUACAUAGCAGGUUGGAUUAGGGCAAAGUGCGUGGCCUCCUUGUCCAGUCCCCCAGGUCGCUCCCCAGGGCCUCUGCCGAUUUGUACUGCUAUGCAGUCCUCGAUCCCAGCGGCUCCCUCUGCCCCCUUUCCAGAUGUAGAGAAGGUACGGCUGUCAUUUCCUGCUGAUGCCCCACCCCAGGUGCUGCCCCAACCUCUGGGGGGAGGGGGGUUCCUUUAUGCAAAUCUCCACUUGAAUUUCCUGUCUGUAUCCAAAAUGUCAAGAUGUCUAAAAGGCUACAUACUUCGGGGCAUACACUAAACACUUAGUAAAAUGUAGAUGCUACUGAAAUCCUUCUCAGGGGAGCAAAUUAGAUUUGCGUACAUAGACUUGUCUCCUAGGCUCCUUCCAGCUUCUGGGAUAGAGGCAAGGAGGGCCUUUUACCUUGCUGACUCCUACUUAGGACCUGGAGGGACGAGCAUAUGAGAGGGGACAAACCCAAGACCCAGGAGUUCUAUGUCCCAGGCACCGUUUUUCCCUUCUUGCCCCCACCACACACACACCUGGGAAACAUUCUGACACCUGAGCCUUCCUGUUCUACUUUCAUUCCUGUUGCUAUGAAAGAUACCCUAACCAAAAGCAACAGAGAAGACUAAAGGUUUUAUUCUCAUCUACCGUUCCAGGUUCCAGUCUGCCACCGAGACAAGGUCUACGCAGAACUAAAGCAGGGAUACUGGAAGGCACAGAUGUUGCUUCUUAACUAAUUUUCGUUUAUCUCUCUCUUGCUUCAUAUAGCUCACACGCACACAAACACACAGACACACACCACACACCCCACCUAGGGAAUGAUUCCACCCACAAUGAGUUCAGUCUUCUUACAACAAUUAGCAAUAGAGACAGACAAACUCUCCAAAGAAGUGUCCACAGGCCACCCUGAUCUAGCAAGUCCCUCAACCCAGGGUCUCUUCUCAGCUAAUUCCAGAUUGUGUGGAGUUGACAUUUAAAACUAAUCGUCACACCUCACCACCAGGAUGUGGUGCCUAGAUGCAGUCCACUCUGGGCACCCUUAAACCCAAUCUAAAUGAUCCUUCUCUCCCAGCCUGACUACAGAGUGUUCUGGUACCAGAACCUGACUACUAUUCUUGGUAACAGUGCUUUGGGACCACUUCUCAGCCCCUGUCCUGACCACUUAGUAAUUGUUCUUCCAUAGGAAAGAAGGUUUGUUUUUGUUUGUUUGUUUGUUUUUGUUUUUUUAAGGUUUUUAUAUAACUUAGAGGAAUGAGAAAGUCCUCCACGGCAGCCUGGGGAAUGUUCAGAGAGGUUAAUGAGCUGCUUUACCUGAAAAAUCAGCUGCCUAUUUACAGGGUUUCCCUAUGAGAGUUCCAGAACUUUGGAACUCCAUUCCACCACCUGGAACAGACUCAUAUGAGCCCUGACACAGUCACUUUCUCUGAUAAGCAGACUUCAUUCAUCUGGAACUUGGAGGCUCUGGGGCUUCCACGAGUGAACCUUCACUUCCAACCUUCUCUCUAUCUCCAGGCACCCAUGCAACAAGUAGCACACAGGAGCAAGUCCUGGCCGGCUCACGCAGCUGGCCUGUGGCAGUGUCCCCUUGAAAGCCAGCACUUUCUCCCACAGCUGGCUGCUCCAGCCUCCCAGAUCUGCUGUCCAAAUCUACAUGGGAGGUAUGUGUAUAGGUGUGAGUCAAAUAUUCGAAACAGAGCAUCAGGAUGAAUUUUCAAAGCAAAUCCAGCUCAUCCUCUCAGCUUCCCAUAGUCAUACUCUUUAGAAGCUUGCAGCGAGGGUCCUGCAGGCUCUAACCAUCCUAGCACAAAAAACAGCCAGAGAAAAGGACACAGUGAAGGACCAAAGCAUCUAGUCCCUACCACCUCCAGUGGCCUCAGCUCUUUGUGCAGAAGGCAGAGGCAGUCUGUUGUCUCAGGGCCCUCUGUUUCCUUGCACACACAGUGUAAGACGUGUUUGAUAUCUGCUUGACGCCAUUCAAGGAAAGACAUCUGCAGUCAAAUGCUCUACCACCGAGCUCUACCGCCAAGGAAAGACAUCUGCUCUGCUGCAGACUGAUAGAACCAACCCUGCAUUACCAAGGCCUGGUACCACUCCACCGCCCCGCCCCAGAUUCUUUCUGUGGAUCCCUCAAGGAGGAAGGGCUCACAAUCUAGUGACCCUUUCAACACAAGUGGCUUUGGUCGAGAUAAAUACCACAUAUGACAUGACUCUUUGUCAUCCCCUGAACCUCCCUCAGAGGCCUGAAACCUCCGGGACAGCAGGAGUUCAAGGACCAUGUGUUUUUCCACUCCUGGUAUCUCCAGCACCCUGCCAGGUAUCUGGGACAAAACAAAGUCCCCAUAAACACAGGCUCACAUGGAACCAAAGCAAGGCAGUGGUCUCCACCAACUUUAACCAAAGAGGCAGUAAAUCCCCUGGGGCUCACAGUUUUGCAUUAAAGCUAAGGGAUUGAACAGAAUAAUGUCUAAGGUCACUUUCAGUUCAUGGACAAGGAGGUCACCCUGGCCUCUUUGCAAUCUGCACACAGGAGCCCCAAGACAUCACAAUAAAUGCACAGUUUGUGUGCCAAACCUCACCUCUCCAAACCCAGCAUUAGAAAUGCUGGCAAACACCUGACCAAGUGAGAGAGGACUCAGAAAGACAGGAAGCCACCCUUUCAGGGAGAAGGGAGGAGCUUGAGACCUGGGGGUAGCAUGCUCGAGUCUCCCCAAGCAGACUAGUUCUGAGAAAGAAUCCGAGUGAACUUAAAGGAGAUAGGGACUUUCUUUACAAAGAGGCCCCAGGUGACUGCCAGCAGAACACUACAGCUUCUUGUUUUGCAGACAGUGAAACCGAGACCCAGGACCCAGAAUAGCUUGGGUGCCACGUUGCAAAGCAACGGAGCCUUGGCACUGAGACUCAGAGGCAGGCUUUCACUGGGGUCACGUCUGGGUUCUUCUGACCAAAUUAGAACAGACAAGCAAGCUCUCUCGUGGGUUUUCAGGCCAUUUCAGGAAUGCAGUUUCCAUGUGGGUCAUGCAAAUGAUCAAAAGGUCCUGAAAGUCUGAUUUUGGGUUUCUUCUGACCUGGCCAGCUUUCCAUGCACAAAGCAGUCGUUGGGAAGUACUCUAGAAGUCUCACUUCCCAAUUUUCAGUAACUUUACAAUCAGCUCAAGACCAAAAAAUUACACAGACAAUUCUACAACUUUUAAACUGAUAGGUUUGAAGCAACCUAUUGCUGAAUAUUGUUAUAACUGCUCCAUUUCGCUGCUAGUUACGGUUAACCUUUUGCUGCGGCUUAAUUUAAAAUUUGGACUUUGUCACAACACUCCAUGGUAGCUAAGGUCUUGGAUAUCUACCCGUAUCUUGGGAAAUAUCUGUGGAUAAGAGACCAUUGUACAAUGAUUGAUGGACUUUACUUUUUUUUUUCUUUUUCUGUUUGCUUUUUGGAGACUGGAAGGGCUUGGGAUGAAAGUUAAGGUUCAGCUUCCACCAAACAACAGCCCUGUCCAAACACAAACCCAUGAGUUAGUAACACUAGCCAGGUAAAUUGAUGAGGGGUAGAUACCAAAGUCAUGCAACUGGAGGUGCCUUCCAGGGGAGGACUGCCCGACACUUGUUUCUAGGGUAGAGUCCUGACAAGACAGGCUUCUUGGUGGAAGGAGAGAUGGAGAUGCACUUGUCAAAGUCAUACUGAGAAUCUAGGACCCCAAGGCAUCCUUUCCUUCCAGGCCCAUACACGGAUAACUUCCCCAAGCCUUGGCAGACAAGAGGGGAAACAAGGACUCCUGACACUGGUGGUAGGCAAUUGUUCAGAGGUCCCAACUGGAGGGGGCACAUAGGCGAGGUAGCAACCUGCACCAAAGACUAGACCCCAGCACCAUCUACAAAUAGCUCAGAGAAAGUCAGCUUCCGCUUGCUGCUGCAGAGCAAGCAAGCUCACACACUUAAACCCUCGUGUUCACUUCCAGGGGCACUUCCUGUUUUCAAGCUCCAGGAUGUUGCUGCCUGAAGCAAAGCCACUGUGGGGAAGCCCCCUGCUAAACCCAGGCCCUGGCUUUAAUAGUCAGUAUGACCUCAGGGAAAGAAAAAAAAAAAAAAAGAGGAAUUGUCAGAAAGCUGAGGGAAGAAGCGCGCCGUUCAUUCUUUUAUUCCUUUAGUCAGCUCCUGUCCGCGCACAUGUGAACACACAUUGUAAGCAUAUUGUAAGCAUAUGUCUGCACGAUAUACAUCUACACACAGUUCUGCAUAAUAUCUAUCCUGCAGGACCCAUUUGGGAUAAGGAAACUGAGGCUCCGAAAUGCUAUCUCCACCCUCCAUGCAAUUUUAGGCACACGCGGGAGACACAGGACGGUGAAGUUUAGUUACUGUUUCUUUUCAGCCAAUCACGGAAGUUCAGAAAAUGACAAGGCUUUGGUGUUUGGGCAGGAAGGGGAAGUGCAGGGAGGCUCAGGGGCCCAGCCCUGAGGCUCUGGUCUUCCUUUCUCACAGUUUAGCCUAGCCGUUGUUUCCAAAGACGCCGGCAGGGGGCAGUGCAUCUCUCUUUUUCAAACCUGGGGGCGCUAUGGGCCAUGAUCCAAGAAAGAAAAUCAGGGGACACCGCCCCCGGUUUCCAGAAACACGCACACUGGUUUAGCGAGGGAGGUAGUAGGUGCUCAGCGCGCUCCUAGAAGCCGCUGGAUCAAUUUAAAUUUAGUAGUAAACGGUAAGGGACGAGGGGCGUUCCGACUCCGGCCAGCGCCUUGUGUCCCAGAGGCCUUCCCACUGAGCGCAGGCUUAGCACCUACUGUGUGCCAGGAGCAGCGGCAGAGAUCGCAUAGCCCUGUCCCCGGCUCCUAGCAGUUUUUCCUCUGGGGAGCGGCCCCUCACCUGCCGCAGGGAGGGGUGGGCGCUUCAUCUCACCACAAGUCCGUUAGGGCGAGGGGGCGCGGAGCUGGGAAAGGAGAGGGUACCCCAUAAACACAGUGGAAGUCCGGCGAAAGCCUGCUGUAGCGACUGAGCGAGCUUGCUCCCGUCCUCGGGGGUCACUGAGGUCUCCUGGGACUCAGCCUCCGAGAUGCCGGGGCCAGCCCAGCCCCCACUCACCCGCGCACUCCGGGGCGCGCACGUCCUCUCAUGGAGUGCCACCAGUUCCUACUGGCGGUAGGAGCUGGCUAGGACCCUUGUGCAAGAGGCUGGAGAAAUUCCAGGUCGGGGCACCCUUUCCCGAAAUCUCCGUGAGUCAAGGCGAUGACGCCUUACCUGUACCACGAGGGGGGCACCGGUCAACUCAAUGCCCAUCUCGAGUUCAGCCGCGCUGCCUCCCGCAAGGUCACGCUCAAACACUCACACGUAGAAAAGAUAAAAAAAAAAAAAAACAACCAAACAAGCAAAUAAAAAACUCCAAGGGCUCAAAGUUGCUUGCGCAACGGUCCGAUUCGGAGCUAACAGUACUCCAACCGAGUCGCCUUGCCCGGUGUCAACGGUUUCCCACCCCGGUGCACUCAUCAAAGGGGCGGAGGACUGUGCCCUGCGCACGUCACAUUACAGAGACACGGACAAGUUGCUAACUUUUGUCACAUUGUUUCUUGGCAGCUGAGGCGCCUAACAGGGUUGGGGCAGACUCCCAAGUUUCGAGUUGCCACCGCCUGCUCCCUUUGCCCACGCUAAUCCACCGGCUUUCCAACACACCUCAUGCAGCUGUCCUGUCCUAAGAGCCAACUUGUCCCGGAGAUCCGGCGCAGCGCGGGAUUAGAGGUGUCCCGGGGGCCCACAGCCUCCUCCCGGGUCUGCGCCUGCUCACAGCGGAUUGGGAGACUCCAUCCCGGACACUGUCCCACUAUCUCUGGUCUAGAUAACCAACGGCCUCCAAGCGUCCCCACAGUGUCCCAGCCCAAGACCUCGGCUUCUCUAGAGAGUGUGGGCAAGCAGCCCCUGAUGGAGUCUGCUACCCGCGGCCCGGGCUAGGAGCUACUGCGGUGCUGGGUGCAAUGUCACCGCGGCCGCUCCGGGAAUAGCUGCCACCAUCACCGUAGGCUCCCCCACUGAGCUCCGGGAGGCUCCUCCGUUAAGCGCCAAAGAGCCUGGAUCCUCAGAGCUGGAGUCUCCUCCCUGACACUCUUCCUGAGACCACCGUGGUGGCCGUGGCUGAGACGGAGCUCUCUCCCUCUCGGCGCCUAGGGUCUUCGGCCCCACUUCCUCUGCCAACCAUACCUUCCUAAGUCCCUUCCCCACCCCUGCUGUGCCGGGGUCCGGGCGAUCACCUCUGCACUCAGAGAACACAUGCGGAAUUUCCCGAGCCCCAACUCACGAGGCGGCGCCGUCCCUGGGGCACCCGGACAGCGACCAGCUGGGUGCGCACUCGCCCAACGCCGGAGACACACCGGAGUUGCCCGGCUUGGGGUGCAGAGGAGGUUCGGAGGGGUAUCUAAGGAGAUGCGUCCGGGAUACUCACCCCGACCAGCUCACACCUCCGGGUCCUCCUCUACCUCCUCUUCUGCCUCCUCCUCUCGCCUCCCUCCGGUCUAGGGCUCUUUGUCUUUGCAAAGUGUCGAAAGUAUCUGGCAUAGUGGGCUCCGGCGGCAGAGGCUAGCGCCGGGAGAGCGGGAGGCGGGGUGAGGAUGGGAGCGGCCUCUGGAACACCUUCCCCCGGGUGUAACGGGAGUCGGAGGCGGGGCGUCCGGAGAGGGGCCGCCUUCGCCCGCCGGCUGGGACCAAGCGGCGACUUGGGCGCGCCCAGCCCCGCGGCCGCCUCCACAGCGCGCAGCCCUCCCCUUCCUCCGCCCAGCGCCCGCCCCUCGGAGCCCCGGCGCCCCGGCGCCCCUCCCGCCGGCCUCGGCUCGGCUUUCCCCUUGCUUGGGGCUUCCUGCGAGCCCAAUAUAGCUCUGCCGAGCCACGUGGACCGCAGCGGGCUGGGUGGAGGCCGGACCGGCCUAAGAGACGCCGGAGGAGGAGGCGCGGGGACCGGAUCGCCGCCCCGAGAGAGGGGCUCUGCGGGAACAGCGCGCGAGGCUAGGGAAGAACUCCCCGGAGGCCUCAAGCUCGCGGGGUCAACCCCCGGGACAAGGCGAUGGGCGUGCGCCGAGAGGACGUGGCUGGCGGUGCCGAGAAGAUCCCUAGUCGGGUGUGCGGUGGAGAGAGGUGGCGAUCCCCCCUGCAGAGCCACCUCUUCCUCUAAGGGCGUGGGACUGGAGGGUUUGUUUUGCUGAGCAAGUGGAUACAGGCAUGCAGAGCUCCGGAAACUGUCGUUGGUGGCAUCUUCUGAGAGCUCAGCCCAAGCCCGCUGCAGAAGGAGGAAGGAGCGGGUUUCAACUGUGCUCCUGACCUGCCUAGAUAGAUAGGGUGGAAGCAUUGUGUAAGACCGGGGAAGCAGACUCAAUUAGAAGGGAGGAAGGGGAGGACAAAGAGAAAACAAACUACCAGAAAAGGAAAUAAAAGAAACCGAGACCCACAAGUUCCACUAGUCAGGGGGUGGGGGAGUAAUGCGCAAGAUGUCCUUCCUUCAGGUAAGUCUCCCCCUGGGGGAGGCCUUACCUGCCACUUGACUGUCCCCACCCGCUGGGAAUUUGAGGGAAGAGGUCUCCAAGGUGCUCUAUGACCCAUGCUGAAUCCUCUUCCCUGCUGUCCUUGGUUGAUUUGGGUUUCCAUGCUAUACAGGGGGUGAGGUCCUUGCCCCACGCGAAAGUGUCUCUGUAAGCUUUUUUUUUUUCUGAGACACUGGUCAGACUGCAGCACCUGGCGUUCUUUUGCGUGCUUGGGAGAGGAGGGCAGAGUUCCAAUCCUGUCAGCUACUGCCCCUCAUAGCACAGCAUCUUCCAACCAUAUCUAGUGUGGGCCACUUAGAUUCUUGGUAGCCAGUGGUACGGUUUGGAGCAGGAGCACACACCCGGGAGACCCUCAGAAGGCAAUUUAAAUGGUCACCUAGCUGGACCUUACUGCAGAGAACGGAGUCUGGUGGUUUGCAAGGCUGUGUCUACUGGCUGUGUGCCUCUUGAGUUGAUGAGGCUUUCUGUGGCUAAGGAACCCUGCUUCCUGCUGACUGCAGCCCUCUCUCUGUGUGGUUCACAAGGUAGUAAGGAAGUGUUGGGUGAAUUAGUCUUGCAAGGAACCAUGGGUGCAAAGGGAAUCACUUAGGCAAAUGGAACCACACUUGGUGAGUAGGAGACUGCUUUUGUAUUCUAAUGGAUUCCCUGGAGGGAGGGUUAGAUUAGGCAAAUUGACAGCCCCCCCGGGGCAUCCAGCUGUUGCACUUUGAGAGCCAGCUCUGUUUCUACCCCCAGAGUGGGUCUCCGGAUGACUUCAAAGGGGCCUCCGGUGAGUUCUGGUGAAUGUGCAUAAGCCACUGCCUUACCCAUGUAAAAUGCAUCUACUUCUAGUCAGGGAAUGCAGGCAGGACCUUUUUAAAUCCACCCACUGGCUGUCUUGUUACAACACAACUUCUUUCUAGGUAACAGGAUGGGCCUUCCAUAUUCCUUCCCUUCUUUUCUGUUCCUUCCUCUUCAAUUUUUUUUUUUUUUUGAGUCGUGAUAUUCUGUUCAGGCAGCACUUUAGACACCCUGGACCAUUUCCAGAAGCAAAGGAAACAGGCUGCAUGCCAAGGGUGGAUGGAUGCGUUUCUUCUUGUCACCCUGAUCCGUGUCUCCCAACAUGCCCUGCUGGGGAACCACUGGGAGUAGUCAUUACUGGGAGUGCCUGCACAGCAGGUCCCCUGGGGAGCCCCUGACAGGGAUUUAGUGCCCACCACCACCUCCCCAUGAGUUCAGAGCACAGCAAAGCUCUACUGACGGCUGAGGAAAUUGAUUUUCUCUUUCCCUUCCCCCUUUGUUGGCACACCAGAGUGGAAAAGUACUAAUGGGUUCCAAUCCCACUGGGAUUGUGCAGAAAAGAGCAGGUGAUGGGGCUUGCUGGAGGCUCUCAGAGGGGCUGGCACACGCUCUCUUGUGUUUUGGGUGGUGCUUUCUUGGGUCUCAGGGCUGUGAGGACUUCCUGAACUCUCCUUAAGUGCUUAAUAUGGAAAUGGCCAAAAUAAUGCAGCUUGGGGAGCUGGAAGGAAAGCGCUUUCUCUCUCUCUCUCUCUCUCUCUCUCUCUCUCUCUCUCUCUCUCUCUCGUGUGUGUGUGUGUGUGUGUGUGUGUGUGUGUGUGUGUGUGUGUGUGUGGUUUUCUUUCUCUUCUGGAAUAUCCCUUAAUACUUUGAGUGGGUUUGUUUGUUUCAUUUUGGUUUCUUCCCAAGCCUCUGAUACCACUGUAACAGUAGAGACAGUUAUUUUAGUUGCACACCCUGGCUGUUGAUCCCACCCAUAUUUGACUUUGUUCAGGAGAGAAAUCACAUUGACAAGCCCAUCCAGGAGUUAAUGGGGUCACCAACCCAACCUGCACAGGCAGCCAAGCAUCGUGUGUCCAUCACUGAGUUGACCAUGGGGAAGAAGAACCCUCUAGAUUUGACACUUGAGGGAAUGUAGUGAACGUGGCACAUUAACCCCUGCAGUCCCUGGAAUCCCAAAGGGUUCCUGAGCCAGCAGGUCCUCUGUGAUCAACCUCAUUCCCAAGCCCAGUUUCCCAUUGGUGUCAGAUUCCCAGACCCCCCCCCCAAGCAUGCAAUUGGUGUCAGUCAUUUGUGACUACCCAAUGAAGAAUUUCUGAAGCCUCCUCAGCAAAAGUGGUUCCUGUAGAAAUGUCCAAAACAGUGUGGCUUGGGAAGCUGGAAGGAGAGGCUGCUUUGUUCUGGCUCUUGUUGUGUGUGUGAUGAGUAUUACAGUGUUAAAGAUAAGCUUUAAAACUAGUGAGAGCCACCAGAAAAGGGAGAUAAAUGUGCUUGGCUUCUGGGCAGGAUAUUUGGCUCCAUAGCAGAGCAUCUGUCUAGCACGUGUGAGGUGUGGACUCAGUUUCCAGUACUGCAUAAGAAAACAAAAGGAAGGAAGGAAGGAAGACAGUCGUUGGAGUAGACCCAACGACUUUCCAAGUGGAAAUCUCUUGUCCACUUGCAUAAAAACAACAAAUUUACUUUAUUUAUUUAUCUGGGGGCACUCACGUAGAGGUCGGAGAACAACCUGCACAAGUUGGUUAAUUUUACCAUGUCAGUCCCUGGGAUCAAACAGGUCAGAAGACUUGGUGGCAAGUGCCUUUGCCAGCUGAGCCAUCUCACUAGCCCGAACAGGAAAAGUUUAAUUCAUGUUCUCUGUUAGGUAUCUUGUGCUCGUGAAAUAAGCCAAAUCGGAAGACCAGUGGUUGUCUUUGGGUGGUGUUCAUCACUUGAUUGUGCCCCCUAAGAUCCUAAGUUAAGGUUUGAUCACAGUAUGAAAACAGUGAGAUGUUCUCUGUACCUGUAAGGGGUAGUACCUUGUAGGAGGUCUUUAGGUCAUUGGAGAAUGCUCUUGAAGGGACUGUGGGAGUCUUCCUGUCCUCUCUGCUCUGUUUAGACCUAUGCCUGCUUAAUGAGGUUUACAAAGUGGAGUCAGAAAUAGAUUGACAACAGGUAGUUUAUUAAGGAAUAGUACUCUCACAAAGGAGCCACUGACCAGGUUUACCCCACAGCGGGAGGGACCUACAAGAUGCUUCCCAGUGAGCUUAGCCAGGCGAAGGGGACAGCAUGCCUGCCUCCCUCCUACUUAAACCCUUGUUAGGUCACUCUGACCACGCCAAAUGGGCGUGGUCAGCGGUACCUCUUAAUCAGGGUUUCUCCCUACACCUGCUCCUGAUAUGGGAUAUCCUUCGGUAUGCCGCAAAUAUGUGUUGCUUUUAUUGGUUGAUAAUGAGGCUGAUUUGGGCAAUGGCCAAAUAGAGUAUAGCUAGGCAGGCAAUCCAAACAGAGAUAGAAAAGGAAAGAAGGCGGAGACAGACGCCAUGGAAGCAAGAUGUGAGGAACUCCAGCAACAAAAACAGACAACAGCUUGUGACCCUGGGUCCUUUGGUUUGGGAUCAGGACAACCCAACAGGAUGUCUUGCCUGCCCACCAUGUCUGAAAGAACUGGAAUCUAAGAGACACUCAGGUAGCCAAGGAUCCUCCACUCAGCCUAGCCAUGGCCAUGGAUGACUCAAAGGUCGGCUCAUCAAGUGCCAUCCAGAUCCACUGUGUGCAGUAGCUUCCCCAAUACGGAUGGCCUCCCUGCAACAUGGAGCCUGGAUCCUAAGAAGCAGCAUCACACAGCCAGGAAGGAGUCAAAACAGGCAAGAGGAAACAACUGGAUUUGAAGUCUGCCCCAAACCAUAAGGUCAUCUGUGACUUCAUUCUCGAGGAAAGUGUGAGGCUCCUCAAGAUGGAGAAUGCUCUGUCAUGGUUCAGAUGACAAUUGCAGCCAGCACCUGAGCCUGGGGGAACUGAGCCUGAGACUCAAGAGGGGUGAGCCCAUCCCUGCUGUUAUCAGUAUCCGGUAGCCCGAAGGCAAUCACCUACACAGCGUCUUACAAUGUAGACUUCGCUUCCUUCCUCAAAACUGGCAUCUCAGCUGCUUGAAGGGGCCAGAUGUCCUAAGGAAUUAACUACCCCAGCACCAUGUACUCGGAGAGCCUCUGAUAAUUGAUGACCGUUAUUAAUCUAAUUAUCUUUCUGAUGUACAUUGUGCUUGUCAACAUAUCUGUGAACGUUUUGUAGAUGAAGAAUGGAGAAGUACAGUAUGUGAGUUGCCAGGACAUGCCAGGUCUCUGCCAGGAUAUAUAUGUAUGUAUGUAUGUAUGUAUGUAUGUAUGUAUGUAUAUGUAUAUAAAGACCCCCGAGAGGGAAGAUCCUCACUCAAGUCUCGGGAUGAUGAGACCCCCCCCCCCAAGAACUCAAGAGAGACCGUCCUUGCUGCAAUCACACAAGGUUUAUUGACAGGAACCAGUGCGCUGGGGCCGAGACUCAUAUCCCACGCAGGGGUAGAGGAGUUUUGACCCUGAAUGGCUGGGAAUAGGGUUUUUUUAAAGGAAGAAUCCACAACCCAAAAUACCAAGAAUACCAGUGAAAGGUCCGGAGGGAAAUCACAACGGGAAACUCCCUGUUCCUUAAGAUCGUUUGUAAGAUUCUAAUCUAACUUUUUAUGGCUAGCAUUUUCCUGAAACAGAGUUGCUGAACCAGCUAGCCACCCUAUAUCCUAGGCCUUAUUUUGUCUGCUGGGGGGGAGGGGGUCGGGUCUUCUUUAUCCUGGCCUUUCAAAUAUAUAUAUUAUAUAUAUAUAUAUAUAUAUAUAUAUAUAUAAUGUCUAUGGCAGUGGCCUCAACACUGAUAUUUUCCCUUCUCCUCUUUUUGUUUUGUGGUUUUUACUUGUUUGUUUUGUGCCAACAAGAAAAGUAGCAUUUUUUUCCUCCAGUCAAAACCAAGUGUAAAUAUCUAAAUGUGUAAUAAAAGAUGUCAGUGCUUGAAAGGGACGUAGAUGGCAUCUGUAUCUGUUCCUGGGGAAAAAAAUAAAUAAAUGAGAACUCCUUAAGC
rnacentral:lncRNA from 1 species